rnacentral:rRNA from 1 species
UUUAUGCGUUGUUGGGUAGGGGAGCGUUCUGUAAGCCUGCGAAGGUGUACUGUGAGGUAUGCUGGAGGUAUCAGAAGUGCGAAUGCUGACAUAAGUAACGAUAAAGCGGGUGAAAAGCCCGCUCGCCGGAAGACCAAGGGUUCCUGUCCAACGUUAAUCGGGGCAGGGUGAGUCGACCCCUAAGGCGAGGCCGAAAGGCGUAGUCGAUGGGAAACAGGUUAAUAUUCCUGUACUUGGUGUUACUGCGAAGGGGGGACGGAGAAGGCUAUGUUGGCCGGGCGACGGUUGUCCCGGUUUAAGCGUGUAGGCUGGUUUUCCAGGCAAAUCCGGAAAAUCAAGGCUGAGGCGUGAUGACGAGGCACUACGGUGCUGAAGCAACAAAUGCCCUGCUUCCAGGAAAAGCCUCUAAGCAUCAGGUAACAUCAAAUCGUACCCCAAACCGACACAGGUGGUCAGGUAGAGAAUACCAAGGCGCUUGAGAGAACUCGGGUGAAGGAACUAGGCAAAAUGGUGCCGUAACUUCGGGAGAAGGCACGCUGAUAUGUAGGUGAAGUCCCUCGCGGAUGGAGCUGAAAUCAGUCGAAGAUACCAGCUGGCUGCAACUGUUUAUUAAAAACACAGCACUGUGCAAACACGAAAGUGGACGUAUACGGUGUGACGCCUGCCCGGUGCCGGAAGGUUAAUUGAUGGGGUUAGCGGUAACGCGAAGCUCUUGAUCGAAGCCCCGGUAAACGGCGGCCGUAACUAUAACGGUCCUAAGGUAGCGAAAUUCCUUGUCGGGUAAGUUCCGACCUGCACGAAUGGCGUAAUGAUGGCCAGGCUGUCUCCACCCGAGACUCAGUGAAAUUGAACUCGCUGUGAAGAUGCAGUGUACCCGCGGCAAGACGGAAAGACCCCGUGAACCUUUACUAUAGCUUGACACUGAACAUUGAGCCUUGAUGUGUAGGAUAGGUGGGAGGCUUUGAAGUGUGGACGCCAGUCUGCAUGGAGCCGACCUUGAAAUACCACCCUUUAAUGUUUGAUGUUCUAACGUUGGCCCCUUACCGGGGUUGCGGACAGUGUCUGGUGGGUAGUUUGACUGGGGCGGUCUCCUCCUAAAGAGUAACGGAGGAGCACGAAGGUUGGCUAAUCCUGGUCGGACAUCAGGAGGUUAGUGCAAUGGCAUAAGCCAGCUUGACUGCGAGCGUGACGGCGCGAGCAGGUGCGAAAGCAGGUCAUAGUGAUCCGGUGGUUCUGAAUGGAAGGGCCAUCGCUCAACGGAUAAAAGGUACUCCGGGGAUAACAGGCUGAUACCGCCCAAGAGUUCAUAUCGACGGCGGUGUUUGGCACCUCGAUGUCGGCUCAUCACAUCCUGGGGCUGAAGUAGGUCCCAAGGGUAUGGCUGUUCGCCAUUUAAAGUGGUACGCGAGCUGGGUUUAGAACGUCGUGAGACAGUUCGGUCCCUAUCUGCCGUGGGCGCUGGAGAACUGAGGGGGGCUGCUCCUAGUACGAGAGGACCGGAGUGGACGCAUCACUGGUGUUCGGGUUGUCAUGCCAAUGGCACUGCCCGGUAGCUAAAUGCGGAAGAGAUAAGUGCUGAAAGCAUCUAAGCACGAAACUUGCC